rnacentral:rRNA from 1 species
UAACCGAUUGAAGUGNCANNCGAUUAGUGGGNNUACUNAUCUANNNNCGCAGCUAACGCUUUAAGGCAUUCCGGCNUGGNGAGUACGGUUCGCCAAGNUUAAAACUCAAAGGAAUNGACCGNNGGCCCGCACAAGCGGUGGAGCAUGUGGUUUAAUUCGACGCAACGCGAAGAACCUUACCAGCCCUUGACAUCCCGGUCGCGGAUUCCAGAGACGGAAUCCUUCAGUUCGGCUGGACCGGAGACAGGUGCUGCAUGGCUGUCGUCAGCUCGUGUCGUGAGAUGUUGGGUUAAGUCCCGCANNGAGCGCAACCCCCGUCCUUAGUUGCUACCAUUUAGUUGAGCACUCUAAGGAGACUGCCGGUGAUAAGCCGCGAGGAAGGUGGGGAUGACGUCAAGUCCUCAUGGCCCUUACGGGCUGGGCUACACACGUGCUACAAUGGCGGUGACAAUGGGACGCUAAGGGGCAACCCUUCGCAAAUCUCAAAAAGCCGUCUCAGUUCGGAUUGGGCUCUGCAACUCGAGCCCAUGAAGUUGGAAUCGCUAGUAAUCGUGGAUCAGCAUGCCACGGUGAAUACGUUCCCGGGCCUUGUACACACCGCCCGUCACACCAUGGGAGUUGGUUUUACCUGAAGACGGUGCGCU